rnacentral:rRNA from 1 species
AUACGUAGGGAGCGAGCGUUGUCCGGAAUUACUGGGCGUAAAGCGCGUGUAGGCGGCGACGUAUGUCGGGUGUGAAAGCCCUCGGCUUAACCGGGGAAGUGCGCCCGAAACUACGUUGCUCGAGUGCUGGAGAGGGUAGCGGAAUUCCCGGUGUAGAGGUGAAAUUCGUAGAUAUCGGGAGGAACACCAGUGGCGAAGGCGGCUACCUGGACGGACACUGACGCUGAGACGCGAAAGCGUGGGUAGC